rnacentral:rRNA from 1 species
UACAGAGGGGGCAAGCGUUGUUCGGAUUUACUGGGCGUAAAGGGCUCGUAGGCGGCCAACUAAGUCAGACGUGAAAUCCCUCGGCUUAACCGGGGAACUGCGUCUGAUACUGGAUGGCUUGAAUCCGGGAGAGGGAUGCGGAAUUCCAGGUGUAGCGGUGAAAUGCGUAGAUAUCUGGAGGAACACCGGUGGCGAAGGCGGCAUCCUGGACCGGCAUUGACGCUGAGGAGCGAAAGCCAGGGGAGCAAACGGG